CUGUUUUCUUCUUGAGGACAUGAGUUACAGACUUUUUUGUCUUUUGUUUCUUCCUUGCAUUCUCUCAGUAUCUUCUGAUUUUUUUUUGUUUCUUAUUUAUUUGUUUUAUUCUUUGUUUUUCCUGUUGGAGGCUUCACUACUGGUGGCAGUCAGACAAGUUUCAACUGCUAAAGAAUUCUCAGAGUACUGGUAACUAUAAUGCUUAGGAAUCUACAGGUUAUUGCAAGAAAAGAAUGCAAAAUAGCAGCAGCAUUGAAAUAAAAGAAAUGCAUCUCAACCAAAGAUCUGCCUCACAGCAUAGAUCAGGAGAAGCCAAGAACUAGCUCUUACUGUCCUCCAUCUGCAGGACCACAGCGGACACACUUUUUCUCUCAAAUCAGAACCACCAAGAUAGGCACAGAACACCCUGGAACCAGGGAACCUAGUGUAGGCACAUUCUUGUGAAGUAACCGGCCCCAGUGGCAGAGCCCUCUGGAAGUCUCACUUAGACCAGGUGUAAACCAUCAUCUCACUGUUAUCAAUAAACGAUGCUCACAAGCUGGUACAAACUACCAGACACUGCCCUUUGGCCCCUCGGUUGAAAAGCAACACUAUUAAUCAGUACAACUCACACCUUGACUAGGAGUCAAUACUGUCUUGGCACAUCUCUCACUUCAGCAAAACAGCUCAGACCAAUUCCAGGCACGCUGGGAUCAACCCUCAGACCAUAGCUUUUCUUAAAUAAAACUGUGCAACGAAAACACUGACUGAAACUCUGGAUACACGUGCAUGGCUUACCUCUGACUCUUGGUGAACAAGCAUUUUCAUCGGGGAACACCAAACGGAAAUUUUGGAAACUUCAUUAUCCGAGGCAACUCAGACUCUCUAGGAAAGGUUAUGAUCCGCGAGAAGCCGGAAGUCAGAUAACUACCCAUCGGGAAACCUCUCGCGGGACAGCAAGGCCUGCCGCGAGAUGUCGUCGGCCGCCGCUCUGCGCUCGUCCUGCUGGAAACCUGGCCGCGGGAACUCACAGCCCUGUCGUUUUCGUGCGCUUUCCGUCCUACAUCUGGAAUGGAGUGACUGCUGUGGCAAUUCCUGGAGAAGAUUUUUUAAUUGUUGCUUUUGACAGUUUGGUGAAGGAUUUUCAAUUCACAUCUGGCCCCAAAUGUUAUAAAUUAACAGACAAAACAAACAUUGGAUGCGGCGGUUUUCAUGGAGCCUGAGGCUGACAAGCGUUAUUGAAGCAAGACUAAAGAUGUAUACGCAUUCCAGUAUUAAGGCGUGACUAAGGGGGCUGUUGCUGUGAUGCCGUCUACAAUCCUCUCUCCGAGGUGCUUCUUUCCAUACUGUUUGCAACAUCUUCAGGGUGAAGAAGUAAAGGGAGUCAUGUACAGCUUGGACGGUGUCAGGGUAGGGUGUCUGUUGGUUCACGGUCCUGGGAUUUCCCAGGUGAAAUUCAAAACUGGCCUGUGUCCAUGGAGAGCAAGGAGAGACUGAAGACGGAGGCAGACCACUCCAAAUUGAAAGCACCUGCAGAUCUUCAUGACUGUCCCUGUUGUCAAAGAUAGCAUUAUUGGGAGUAAGGAAAUUGUGCAGUCAUCAGCAAAUAGUGAGUUUCUAUUUAUAGAAGUGGCCAAGAAAAAGCUGGCUGUCUGAGAUGUUGGAGAGAGACAGUUUGCAGCCCCUGAGAGGUCGGAAUAGAGGAACCCUAAGAAUUGCAGGCGAAAGUUUCUCUAAGGCUCCAGAUGGGACACUUUGAUGCCUAUAAAAUGAGAUCUGUUUCAACAAGAGAUGGUGGGUAGAAAAACAGAAAUAGACAUGGCAGAAGAAUCUAGGCUACCACUGAGUCAAAGAGACAAUGAAGAGCUAACUUGAGGAAAAUGAGAGAGAUUCGAAAGAAAUUGAAUACAAUGAAACUAAAAAAAAUAAAAGCUCACAAUUUCAUGACAAACAAUAGCAGCCCAUUUUGUAUGUACCAGAUGUCUUGGUAGAAAUUAUUGCAUUAAUCCACACAACAAUUGGUCUCUGAUAUGGAUUGAAAACAAAUGGUAUUAUUCCUGAUUAACAGUUGCUAAAAGCUGCUAAAUGUCACACAGCAAUUCAGUGACUUUCCCAGUAAAAUCAGAAUCUAAGCAAUCACAAAUUUUAGUUUACUAAUCCAUUUCCUGUCUUGCAUCAACAAUAUGAAAGGUUUUAAAUUUCUUUCCCUAUUCAACUGGCUGAACACUUCAUGAUUUGCUAGUAUCAGUUUGUUAUUUUUGAACAGAUGAUUAGUUGCCGGUGAAAAACAUUAUUUCUCUUUAAUUUCUGAGGACUUCAGAGUAAACAACAUUAUAAAAAAGACAUAAACAAGGAUGCUCUUUUCAUAAGCUAGGAUCAUUCAGAAAGCAAAACAAAACAGGACAUAUUACUUCUCAACUCUUUUGAAAAGCAAAUACGUAAUAUACGUCUAAACAUCACACUGAUGGAAUAAUAUGUACUGAUCUGUGACAAUGAUUUAAAAUAGUUCCCUAGCACUACUUUUCAUAUUAGAUUUUAAGUGAAAGAGGACACUAACAUAAAUCACUCUUUUUACAAUGAAAGCCAGUAGUUUUCUCUCAACUCAAGGCAGUAAGGCAUUGUUACUUUGCUUCAAUGUGGCCAUCACAGGUAGCCGUUUCUUAGGAAUCAUGUUGUAAAACUGAAUAAAAAUAAAUCAAUAACACAACGUGUAUAAUGGUUGAUGGCCUCAGGGUAGCUCCACAUUAAGUAAAUGAAGAGAUAAAUAAAUACAUAAAAUGAGUAAAUAAAAAAAUAUUUUCCUUUCAUUAUGUUGAGUAAUUGAUGUUUGUUAGACAAAAUCUACGAUUUGGAUUAUUAUUUUUUCAGCAUCAGCAGAAAGAAAAUAGGAAAAUUUUAGCAAAGUAGGAGCAGCCUACAUAGUAAGGAUUCCGGAAGUCUGCAAAGGACAAUGCUUCCUAGUAAUUAUUAGCGCAAAGAAGGCGCUCCUACUGUUCCUAAAGCUUAUAACACACUGUUAGCCAUCAUACUUCAAAUGAAAACAUUCUGGAACAAUCUUGAACUAUCUGGCUCCUAAGCCAGCCAGCCUGUGAACAUCUGAAAGUCAAUGUUAUCAGUGUCUCUUCUAGUGGGAGGAUUACUUAACAGGGGUAUCUCCACAGUCAUCCUUGGCACACCUGGUCACAGGACUACGUGAUUUACACAGCUGCAUAGUUGGCGUUUGUGUUGAGAGAGAUUUUAGCAGAUGCGGCAUAAAAUUUAAAAAUAUGCAGCCAAGGAGAUGGCUAGUAUGAAAACUCUUUGUUGUGUAAACGUCAGUCUUCUUCAGAUUUUGUUCAUAAGACCUUCCAGCUACAUAGAAGAGUGACAAAGUUCUGAAAGAGUCUAUGAGGAUGCUGAAAAAGGAAUAGAUUAGCUAACACGAGUUGGCAUAAAUAAAUGCUCAAUAUUUAGAUCUUUCACUACACAUAACAGAAUUGAAUAAACACAUUGGCCAGGAUAAUGCUAGAAAAUAUAAAACACAAAUAUGAAGUUAGACACAUGAAAACAAGUGAGGGACAAAUUCAGAAAAGAUAAAGAUGUCUACUCCUAUCUUCCUCGGAAGGUAAAGUGGGAGUUAGAAAUGUGGGGAGGACCGUCCUGGAGGUUCAGCUGGCUCUGCUUGUCUUUGGACCUGAGGUGCUGUGCAGAUUUGCUCUCUAAGAAAACAAGGAAUGAAAAUUAUGAAUUUGUAAUGUGUCUUCUUCUGUGCACGUUUUCAAUCAGCACUAUUGUACGUAGUUAAAAGAAUGGAUGAGAUAUGAGAUUUUAACGGAUAGUUAAGUCCCAGUUACUGAAUAAUAACUUGUAUUGCACUAUCUCCCUUGGAGAGACCAUCAAGUCAUAAAAAACGCUUAGGGAUAUACCAUGAACCAGUUUUCUUUCUCAGUUCAUAUGCCAUGAACAGGUUUUCUUUUUCAAUAGUAUUACUUAGUUAAUGAUAUCACCUUUUCUUUAUUGUUAACAUUUUUAAUGCAAAAUAUUAUGGAAUGCUAAUAUAUUGAAAUGUCUUGUUCUACCAAUUCAGUGCUAAUAAUAUUAUAGAGACAUAUGUACCUCACCACUUUCCCCUAG
rnacentral:lncRNA from 1 species